CUGUCACGAUACUGGUGCAACAUAACUGGAAUCCGAUGGCCAGGACUUGGGAGCAGAGUAUAUAUAGUACGGAUGUAGCAGAACCCACGUUUAGAAGUUUAAAAAGGAACAGGAAGUGAGGUGGCAACCAGGAAACACAUAAUCCACCAUCUUGACUGAGGGCAAA